rnacentral:tRNA from 1 species
CAUUAGAUGACUGAAAGCAAGUACUGGUCUCUUAAACCACACUAUAGUAAAUUCGCGCUUACUUCUAAUG